CCCAGUGAGUUAAGGCUUUAACGGCCGCGGUAUUUUGACCGUGCAAAGGUAGCAUAAUCCCCUGCCUUUUAAUUGAAGGCUAGUAUGAAUGGAUCCACGAGUGAUCUCUUGUCUCAUAGUUAUGUAUAUAAAUUAGCCUCCUUGUGAAGAGACAAGGAUUAAAGUAAAAGACAAAAAGACCCUGUUGAGUUUUACCUUACUUUAUUUGAUUUAAUAACCUACAUAAAUAUUAUCCCUUAUAAAUACAGGUUUGAUUGGGGCAAUCAAUGACUAAUAACACCGUCAUUAAUUUGAAAGAAUCAUUUCCCCUAAAUACCCAUUAAAAUGAAUUAGAAAUAACAUUACCACAGGGAUAACAGACCAAUCUCUUCAACGAGCCCGAAUCAUAGAAGAGGAGUGGCACCUCGAUGUUGGCUUAGGGAAACCUUUUAGUGCAGCCGCUAAAAAGGUUGGUUUGUUCAACCAUUAAAUCCCUACGUGAUCUGAG
rnacentral:rRNA from 1 species